GUUUUCGUGGUGUAGUCAGUUAUCACAUCCGUUUUACACGCGGAAGGCCCCCGGUUCAAACCCGGGCGAAAACA
rnacentral:tRNA from 1 species